rnacentral:rRNA from 1 species
GACGAACGCUGGCGGCGUGCCUAAUACAUGCAAGUAGAACGCUGAAGGAGGAGCUUGCUUCUCUGGAUGAGUUGCGAACGGGUGAGUAACGCGUAGGUAACCUGCCUGGCAGCGGGGGAUAACUAUUGGAAACGAUAGCUAAUACCGCAUAAUAGUAGAUGUUGCAUGACAUUUGCUUAAAAGGUGCAAUUGCAUCACUACCAGAUGGACCUGCGUUGUAUUAGCUAGUUGGUGAGGUAACGGCUCACCAAGGCAACGAUACAUAGCCGACCUGAGAGGGUGAUCGGCCACACUGGGACUGAGACACGGCCCAGACUCCUACGGGAGGCAGCAGUAGGGAAUCUUCGGCAAUGGACGGAAGUCUGACCGAGCAACGCCGCGUGAGUGAAGAAGGUUUUCGGAUCGUAAAGCUCUGUUGUAAGAGAAGAACGAGUGUGAGAGUGGAAAGUUCACACUGUGACGGUAUCUUACCAGAAAGGGACGGCUAACUACGUG